GGGCUCACACAAGCGGUGGAGCAUGUGGUUCAAUUCGAAGCAACGCGCAGAACCUUACCUGGGCUUGACAUGCUAGGAUUAUCCCUAUGAAAGUAGGGUAGGCCCUUCGGGGUACAACUAGUACAGGUGCUGCAUGGCUGUCGUCAGCUCGUGUCGUGAGAUGUCGGGUUAAGUCCCUUAACGAGCGAAACCUUUGCCCUUAGUUACCAGCGGGUUAUGCCGGGGACUCUAAGGGGACUGCCGGUGUCAAACCGGAGGAAGGUGGAGAUGACGUCAAGUCCUCAUGGCCUUUAUGCCCAGGGCCACACACGUGCUACAAUGGAGUGCACAGAGCGAACCGAGAGCGCAAGCUGGAGGAAAUCGCAUAAAUCACUCCCCAGUUCAGAUCGGAGGCUGCAACUCGCCUCCGUGAAGUUGGAAUCGCUAGUAAUCGCGGAUCAGCUACGCCGCGGUGAAUGUGUUCCUGAGCCUU
rnacentral:rRNA from 1 species